rnacentral:rRNA from 1 species
UACGUAGGCAGCGAGCGUUGUUCGGAAUUACUGGGCGUAAAGCGUGCGCAGGCGGUUUUGUAAGCCAGAUGUGAAAGCCCCGGGCUCAACCUGGGAAUGGCAUUUGGGACUGCAAGGCUGGAGUUUGGCAGAGGAGACUGGAAUUCCUGGUGUAGCAGUGAAAUGCGUAGAUAUCAGGAGGAAUACCGAUGGCGAAGGCAGGUCUCUGGGCUAUAACUGACGCUCAUGCACGAAAGCGUGGGGAGCAAACAGG